AUAUUAUUUGCAAAUAUUUUCUUCUCCGUAGGUUGCCUUUCAUUCUUGUUGUAUCCUUUGAUGCAGUUUUAAAUUUUGAUGUAGUGCAGUUUAUCUAUUUUUACUUCUGUUGACUGUGCUUUGUCCAUUGUCAUGAAGCUUUUCCCCUAUGUUUUUUUCUUCAAGGAGUUUUGUAAAAUUACGUCGUGCAUUUAAGUCUUAUAUCCAUUUUUAGUUUUUGUACGUGGUAGAAAGUCAGGGUCUAACUCCGUUCUUUUGCAUGUUAGUAUUUAGUUUUAUUGACACCAUUUGUUGAAGAGACUGCCCUUAAGGCAGGUUUUAAAAAUCCUCUUAGAAUUUGACUUUCUAAUUUGUGAGUUAUAUGCUCUUUCAUUCAGCCCCUUGCUGGUUUCUUGUCUCAAUGUGGCUUCCCUGCACAGGGCUGUCAUUAUCGGAGACCGCCACAGAAGAGGCACUGCUGACAGGAGCAAAGCACAGGGCUGGUGCCUUCAUGUAUCCAUAGCAGAAUUCCAGAUAACAUCCCUCUAUUAGGAGAAUGCAGAAGGAGGAUUUCAUCAAGAGUUGCCUCAUCAUGUGUGCUUAUCCUUCAGGUAAUUUUUUUCAAUGAAUAUUUUUGAGGACAGUAUCUACAAAUGACGGAAUCAUGAAACUGAGGUAAUUGUAAGAAUGUGGGGGAGGAAUAUCAUCCUAAGAAUGGUAGGAAAAAUUUCCUUGGAGAAAUGGUAUUUGAGCUGAUUCCUGAAGGACACCUAGUAUUGAACUGAGGAAAUGUUGGAGGGGACAGCCCUCGAGCACUCCAGGGCCAGUGUAUCUGCUUCUGUCUGAAAUGCAUCCCUGUUUAAUGUCUUUCCAGCAAAUGCCCUCCUCUCUGUGGGCCUUCCCUGACCAGCCUCUCUGAGAUUGCACUCCACCAUUGUCCGUAUUUCCCUCCUGUGCUUUCUCUUGGCAGCAUGUGUCUCUUUUGAUGAGGUGUAAGCUUUAUGAAGGCACAGAUGUUGGUCUGUUUUGCUCACUGCAGUGUCCCUGGCACCUAGAAAGAAUAGCGCUGGGCACACUGUGGGUACACAUUCCCAAAUGAAUACCUCUAGACAAGAGUACCUGACUAAUGGCUACAUUUUUAAAGCAUAGCAAGGCAGAAACAUGGCCUCAUCUUCCUUUUAGAAAGCUCACAGCAGCUGUAGUAUUGGGAUUGUAGGUCAGGAGUUGAUAAGAGAGGGGCCAGGCAGAUUCAAAGUGUGAAUCUAAAUGAAUGCAGUCAAUACAUCGUUAGUGGUUGAGCUUGUGGUACCUACUUGCUUAAAGCUGUGCAAAUUAGAACAAAACAAAAGGUUGCCAGGCAGAUUUGGCCCACUGGCUACUGGUGUGCCUAAAUCGAGGACCUGCUGUAAACCAGAUUUGCACUGUAACAGGAUCACCAAGGAUGCUGUGCAGAUUACUGUUCGGGGGGUGGGGGGUGUCAGAGAAAGGCAGGACUGUAUAGAUAAAUACAUCAGCUGUAGAAGAUUGUUGUGUCCUGGUGAGACAUGAUGGGGUGCUGUAGUGUAUCUGUGAAAGCACAGAAUAGAAACAGUAUUUGAGUUAUUUUAGGAGGUACAAUUAACAGGUGAUAAUGAAAUCUGUUUCUAAUUUUUAUAAGUAAGGCUAUAGUGAAUUUCUUUUGCCUAAGUCUAUUCUAUUCAAGGAGACCAUCUGAACUUCAGGAGAUCAAAGAUGAACAUUUUUAAGGUAUUUAAGGUUUCCAAAUGUUUUCCAAAAAGGUAGUUUUUUAAGUAUAGUAAACUUUGGAAUACUUGCUAUGCAACAGUAAAAAUAAAUUUACUUAGCAUUUGCUACAUGCUGGGUAGGCAUUUUUUCUUAGCACCUUAAUUAUUGAUACAUUUUAGUCCCAUAAGCAGUCCUUUAAAGUAAGUUUUACUGUUCUUAUUUUAGAGGUGAGGAAAAAGAGGCAGAAAAAGGUUCCAUUAUUGAACAGUGGUAAUUGUGAAAAAGUAUUUGCUUUACAGAAUGUAAAUUUGCCUUUCUGUAAGGCCUACCUUUUGCUCUGUCUGCAGAGCCGGCUGGAACAAGCAGUACAGUGUAACGUUUGAGUGUGGAGGAAGUGUCAAAUUACUUCUUUUAAAUCAAAUCAGAGGAGUCCCCAUUUUACCACCUAGCAGGAAAUUCAAUGCCAGUCCUUCUCUAAGGUUAAACCGGAUUCAGAGGAAUUAUAUGGUGCCUUGAAAAUAGAAGAAGGAUCUUCUUGUCUUCAGCCCUUCAUGGUCACCGCUAAACUCCUUGGUAACUGUCUCAGAGGUAUUCUUUGAAGGCAGGUGGCCUUGCAGAUUCCAAACUUUGGCACGGUGUAAGUCUCAGUGCCUGAAGUCCAGCGUGACCUACACAUGCAGCCUCUUCUGAGGUCUCGUAAAGAAUGAACUCGCAUUCCAACUAUUCUCAGAGCCUACUGACCAGCUUUUUUUCCCAGCUUGAGGGAAUUUCUCCUUUCCAGAACUUAGACUUGAGGGAAAAAAAGGGUAGAACAGGUUGUUUGUAGAUAAUAUCCGCUUUCUGCCCUGCAACACACAUCUUCUCUAAACACAAAGAUCUAACUUAGGAACAUAGUUGAAUAAAUGCAGAUCAUUGGAAAAUAUUAAGUCUGCUUCCCAAGACAGCUCAGUUUCCCCAUUUGUAAAAAUUUGUAAUGCUGUGAGAAUCGGUUUAUAAUGACUGUUUAGCACAGUGCAUAUAACAGUAAUCACUCGUUAAUGGCAUCUGAUAAUACUUGCAAUAGGCUUUAGAUGCCAAAUGAACCUUUUUCUUUGACUAACACGUGCUCCUUUUGAGGAAUGCCUCUUCCCCAGCUGCUCAAGCCAAAUUAACCUAAAAAGUGCUGUUGCCUUAUGAGAGCCAUUUACCUAGCCACAAUGAUGGGUUGGCUAAAGGGUGGCUAAUAACUCACUUUCUGGGCCGUAGGGACUGACCGGUCAAGGGUUGAGCCUAUUGCUCUAGCCAUAAAUACAUAGACACUUAACCAUGAAGCAAAAGGACAGAGGAAUCUGCCCUUGUCUAAGCAGCUCAAUCUGAGGUUGUCGGACAUUUUUCCAUUUGGGGCCUUAGGUUUUCCCCUUCCAUAAACUGAGGACUGCAGGGAAGGCUCCAGAGGGGUCACGUCUGGACUUUGGUGGACUCUUCUCACCAGCUGCUUCAUCUAUAGGGUACUUGUUGGCUCUUUAGAAGGGCUCUGGUGAAGCUGCUGUGGAUACCAGAAUACACUGUUCGUGUAUGUUUGGCCUACUGUUCACGCGCCUCUUUGCCAGUUAUGUAGCGAAGUAAAUUGGGAUCGACUGCCAAAUGAGUGCUAGCAAAAUUUGAAGGCUACUACAGGUUUCCGAUUCUGAAAUCCAAGUUUUUUCUUGAGUUUGUUGCCAAACUCAUUUGGCAGCAAUAUCGGACCUGAAAUGUGUGUGAAUAUGAAUACAUUUUACGGUGGCCAUUAAGUGUUUAACCAUAGGUUCGAGACCUGGUUGUGGAUAUUCUUUAAAACAUAGCACCUCUCUAAUAUCUGAAAAAUUCUGGUCACAAGAAUUUUGGAAAAGGGACCGUACGCCUGUACUACUGCUGGAUCUUCAUCUAGUGCUCUCUAGAGAGGAUUGAUUUCCUUAUGUAUUUAAUUUUAAUGUGUGAUUUUUAAAUCCCAAGAGCUCUGUGAUACUGGCACAGUAAGUUUCACCUGUAUUUUAUAGUUGGGCAGUUGAGGUGUUUAUGCUACUUUUAAAUGCAAAUGCCUGUCUACUAAACACCGGAGGGCAAAUACAGACAGUGACGUAGUAGAGAGGCCACGAGGCAAAGCAGUUCAUGAAGCUCAUAAUUCAGGCUAUUUGGAAGCUCAGAACCACGUCCUCCGAAUAAAUUUCCAUCAACCACAAACUAUGUUCAAAGGGGACUACUGGUGUAUUCAUACUCAGAAUGACUGGUACUACUCUUAGCUCACAGCCAGGUCUCUCAUGUUCACUCAGCUGAAGCAUAGCUAGCUGACAAGGGAGGAAAAAGUAUUGAAAAGCCCCAUUUUGGAGCAAGCUCUUUCACUAAAUCUGGAUUUUCUUUCUGGUCAGCAAUUUACAGUGGCUCAGGUUAGUCUGAUGCCACUCUCGCUGCUUGAUCUCUUACAGUUCUGAGAGAAAUCAUUUCAGGGUCCCUAUCUCCUCUUGUUCUCUUUAUACAAAGUUUUAAGUGUAUAGUCCUUAAUCCAAAGUCCAUCGUCUUUCAGAGAGAAAAGAGUAAAACCAUGUAUUUUACAACUACCUGAACUCUACAAGCAAGUUCUAGCUGGUGUGCAGAAAGACAGAUUUAGCCAACUCUACAGUCAACCAUUCGUGUUAACGAGAAUAUUAGAAAGUGUAUUUGUUUUAUAACCAAGUCAAAUGUGCAUUAGGCCUCCCUCACUUUUCCCAAACUUUAGGAGGUCAGGAGACUCCCUACUCUUGUAGUAGUAGUACUCAGUGGACAGUGACAAAAGGGGGAAGUCCUGAAUAAUCCACAGCGGUUAUGUUACAGUUAAAAAUAAGUGGUCUUUCUUAGGGGAACUGUAUGUAGAUUUACUGUUGCUUAAUUUCUAACAGAAACAUUAAGCUCAAGGACAAUCUUAGCUAGAAUUCUCUGGCACAGAGUCUGGUAAACGGUUUCCCUGAGAUCAUGCCUGUUUCUUCCUUUUGCAUGCUCUGUGCUCAGCAUACACUUCUACCACUACUAAUGAAUGCCUUCUCUUUGAAAAAGAAAACAUGCCACACGUUAUCUGAAGCCACAAGCCAAGCCUUGUAGCUGGUACAAGUAUAGGCCCAGAUACUUGCCGGAGAAGACGAUACAAGCAAACUUGUCACUGUUGACAUUUAAAUGUGAAGAAGCCUUUCCUAUCAGUUGGCACAAAGGAGAAUUGGGAGUUCAGCUCCAUGGCAGUUUCUUCAAUGUCCUUCACAGACUAGGCUGCCUUUAAGAUGGUGUUCAGAGGUCUUCGAGCAAGCAAAAUGACAUUUUGAAUAUAUCAUACAUCCUAAAUAAGUCAUAGGAGCUAGUAUAAACACAAGUGAAAAUAAAAAAAAAAAUGAUCAUGGUCAGAAAAGGAAAAACUCAUGUACUUACAGAUGUCAAAAGAU